CGUGGCCGGCCAGCCUUAACACAUGCAAGUCGAGCGGAUGAAGGGAGCUUGCUCCUGGAUUCAGCGGCGGACGGGUGAGUAAUGCCUAGGAAUCUGCCUGGUAGUGGGGGAUAACGUCCGGAAACGGGCGCUAAUACCGCAUACGUCCUGAGGGAGAAAGUGGGGGAUCUUCGGACCUCACGCUAUCAGAUGAGCCUAGGUCGGAUUAGCUAGUUGGUGGGGUAAAGGCCUACCAAGGCGACGAUCCGUAACUGGUCUGAGAGGAUGAUCAGUCACACUGGAACUGAGACACGGUCCAGACUCCUACGGGAGGCAGCAGUGGGGAAUAUUGGACAAUGGGCGAAAGCCUGAUCCAGCCAUGCCGCGUGUGUGAAGAAGGUCUUCGGAUUGUAAAGCACUUUAAGUUGGGAGGAAGGGCAGUAAGUUAAUACCUUGCUGUUUUGACGUUACCAACAGAAUAAGCACCGGCUAACUUCGUGCCAGCAGCCGCGGUAAUACGAAGGGUGCAAGCGUUAAUCGGAAUUACUGGGCGUAAAGCGCGCGUAGGUGGUUCAGCAAGUUGGAUGUGAAAUCCCCGGGCUCAACCUGGGAACUGCAUCCAAAACUACUGAGCUAGAGUACGGUAGAGGGUGGUGGAAUUUCCUGUGUAGCGGUGAAAUGCGUAGAUAUAGGAAGGAACACCAGUGGCGAAGGCGACCACCUGGACUGAUACUGACACUGAGGUGCGAAAGCGUGGGGAGCAAACAGGAUUAGAUACCCUGGUAGUCCACGCCGUAACGAUGUCGACUAGCCGUUGGGAUCCUUGAGAUCUUAGUGGCGCAGCUAACGCGAUAAGUCGACCGCCUGGGGAGUACGGCCGCAAGGUUAAAACUCAAAUGAAUUGACGGGGGCCCGCACAAGCGGUGGAGCAUGUGGUUUAAUUCGAGCACGCGAAGACCUUACCUGGCCUUGACAUGCUGAGAACUUUCCAGAGAUGGAUUGGUGCCUUCUGGAACUCAGACCAGGUGCUGCAUGGCUGUCGUCAGCUCGUGUCCUGAGAUGUUGGGUAGUCCCGAAACGAGCGCAAUCCUCGUUCUUAGUACCAGCCACCUCGGGUGGCCACUUCUAGGAGACGUGCCGUGGACAAAAC
rnacentral:rRNA from 1 species